GCAGUGGUGGUUCGGUGGUAGAAUUCUUGCCUUCCAUCCAGGAUAGCUGGGUUUGACUACCAGCCAGUGCA
rnacentral:tRNA from 1 species